rnacentral:sRNA from 1 species
GAAAACUUAUCCACUCCUGUGGUGAUAAAUACCAACUCCCAAAUGUAUAUCUUCAAACCCAGACUUCUCUGAGCUCCAGUCUUGUAUAUCCAACUGUCUUCUCCAUAUCACACUUGAUUGUCUCAAAUUUAACACAUCCCCCACAAAUCCCCUUUCUUCUCUCUCCCAGAUUUCUGUUCAGCCAUUUGUAUUUGCAUGUUUCCAAUUAUUCAGGUCACAAACAGUGGAAUCACCUUGACAUCUCCCUUUCUCUUAUCCCCUGCAUGUAAUCAUCAACAAAUUCUGGCAGCUCUUUCUCUCAAAAAUUUCUAGAAUCCAACCACUUCUCACCCUUCUACUGGCAACCAACCUGGAUUACGCCAUCUUCAUCUAGAUUUUUAGCACAACUGACCUCCAUGUUUGCCCCAUCCAGUCUAUUUUCCACACAGCAGCCAGUGUAACUGUUUACAUUUCAAGUCAUAGCAUGUUUCCUCUCUGUUCAAAAUUCCAAUGGCUUCCCCAGAGCCUUUUCAUGCACAAGGCCCUGUCUAUCUGGCCAUCUGCCUCCUCUCUGACUUCAUUUCACCUUUCUACUCUCUUGGCCCUUCCUUCGCUCUCUAUAGUUACUCUUCCAUCUCUCUGGAGCACACUCCCUUUGAAACCCUCAUGUUUCCCGCUCUCACUUCCUUCAUGUCUCUGCUCAAAUGACACUUUAUCAGAGAAACUUCCCUCACCACACUGUGUGAAAUGGUGCCCCCUCCUCAGGCUUUCUCUAUAUUCUUUAUCUUGCUGUUUACAGCCCCUAUCCUGCUUUUCUCAUCAAAAAUAUUUUUUCUUCAUAAAUAAAUGUGUUUGUGUGUAUAUAUAUGUAUAGAUAUACAUCUGCAAUAUAUACAUAUUUGUAUUACACAUUUAUUAAUGCAGGGAUUGACAAACUAUGGCCCAGGACCAAAUCAAGCCCUGGCCUGAUUUUGUACAGACACAAGCUAAAAAUGGUUUUUAUAUUAUUAAAAGGAUGUAAAAGACAAAGGGGAAAAAAGAUGAAUAAGCAACAGAAAGCAUAUGUGGACUGCAAAACCUAAAAUAUUUAGCACCUGGCCCCUUAUAGAAAAAGGUUGCCAGCUCCUGUAUUGUCUCCCACUAGAAUAUAAACUCCUUGAGCUCAGGGACUUUGUUUUGGUCACUGUAAGAUACCCAGCACAUAGAAGAGUUCCUGGUUCAAAGUAGAUGCUAAGUAAACAUUUUUAAAAGAAUGAAUGAAUAAAGAUAAUGAGUUUUGUUUGUUUGUUUGUUUUUGAGACCAGGUCUCACUCUGUUGCCCAGGCUGGAGUGCAAUGGUGUGAUCAUGGCUCACUGCAAGCUCGACCACUUGGGCUCAAACAGUCCUCCCACCUCAGCCUCCCAGGUAGCUGAGACCACAGGUGUAUGCUCAGCUAAUUUUUUUUAAUAUUUGUAGAGACUGAGGUCUCACUAUGUUGUCCAGGCUCAUCUCUAACUCCUAGGCUCAAGCAGUCUUCCUGCCUCAGCUUCCCAAAGUGCUGGAUUAUAGAGGUGAGCCACUUCUCUCAGCCCAACACUGAGUCUUAGUGAGGUCAGGUGACUUGUCUAAGGUCACACAGGAAGCUGGCAGAUGAACCAGGUUUCAAACCCAGGUCCACCUGAUUCCACAGCUAGGUCCCGAUGUCCAAGAGCUGCUUGCAGCAAUGAUUUGAACCUUCUUGUUUUCUACCAAAAGGCUUUCCUUUGUAGACUGUCUCUAACAGGCAAAUUAGGUAAGCACCCUGUGGGACAGGGGAUGAAAAAAGAAAGACAUACAGUAUGUUGCAGAAAACUUUUAAAAAGUAUAUCAUCACAUAUUUACAUCUGAUAUCAACCAUAUUCAAUGUACUUUCAUAUACAUCAUCUCUUAGUGUCACCAAAUAUCUGUAUACGGUAAUGAGCGUAAUCUGUAAUUAUGCUCAUUACACACAUUACAAAACAGAGUUUCAGAGAGGUUAAGGGAACUGGCUUUCACAAGAAGUGAGUGGCAGAGACAGAAUUGAAUCCAGAUUUAUCACUUUUAGUGCAGAGCUUUCCCCUUUACCAAACUGGACCAACAUAUAUCCCCACAGCUCUGCCGAAGGGUAAAAGUGCUGCCAUGGAUGUGGAGGAAUUUUAAUAAAAUGGCAGUCACAGUUCAGUCACUUCUAAGAAACCAGGGGCUACUCCAUUUCACCUAGAGGUCUGUGGCAUGCAAGAAAACCUCGUCAGUUGUAAACGGCAAUCUACCAAUGGCCAGAGGCAGCAGCAAAGUAAGAACUUUGAAACUGAAGCAAUGAGCAAGAGAGCUGUCAAGCUGACCACAUCAGCUUGGGCUUUUAUUGGUGUGACAAUAGUGCAGCAUUUUUGAGCUACCAGGCCCAUGACCAUCUUCAAGAAGGAAGCCAAGAAAACCGACAAUUCUCUUAGCUGACACGAAUAUCCACAGCUAUCACCUCCUGUACCAGCUGCUGAAUCUAAUCAGCCAUCCUCUGAGGCAGCUGACUUUAGAGCCUUAGUGUAUUUGGCUGAGAAACCACGUGUGUUACGUGGCUGCCAAAGGCCAGCCUUCUGCGUGAUUGCCAGUGUCUGUAUGUUUUUAUAGAGGAGAGGUCACGAUGCUGCCCCCUGGAGUUCAUUUGAAUCUGACACGUAGCUGUAUGCUGGCCAAGAUACCAGCUCAGAAUGCUUACAACAGUCUAGUUUCAAACGUCUGUCUCUUUGUUGCUGUAAGUUCCUUAUGCUGUGUCAGGCCAUGUGUGCCCUCCCCCCGCCCCAGAAAAUGUAUCCUUUAUAAACAGCAGCAGUUGAAGCUACUGUGCUAUAUUUGGUCCAUUUCUGCAUCUUUUCACCUUGCUCACUCUAAUAUGGCCCAACUCUUAGGAAACUGAAAUUAAAUCAAAGUGUCAUUUUCAACGGUAGAAUAUGCAAGAAUUUUAAGUAUUAAAUGACUAUGAUUAUUAAAUCAGUUUAAUAAUUGUAAUGUUUUCUUCCAAUAAUUUAUAUGAUGACUUGGAUGUGAAAAACUGAUGAACUACAUAAUAACUACAAAUGUACCAUUCCUUUCGGUACAACUUUAAACUUACGUCUCUGUAUUUAAAAAAUCUCUUUUAUUUGGAAAUAACAUUAGUAAUUGCAAUGAAGAAAAUGGAGCAAAGGUCAAAUGCUUUACCUAACAUAUUCCUUUGUCAAAAAAAGAAAACUUGAAAAUUGUUCAAAGUCAGGCAUUAGGUACCUUCUAUAUAUUAAGUAUCAUGCUUGGUGUGAUGCUAAGUGUGAUGUUAUGUUCUUAGAAAGUGUCUGGCUACUUACAUGCAUAUUCCAAGGAAAAUUUAUAUACGGGGAAGAUAUAUUUGAGAAUUCUGCAUUUGUACUGUGUUAAGCAAUAAAAAGUAUACCUUUUUGUUGUCAGGCUUGAGAAAGAGAUCCAAGAUCUUGAAAAAGCUGAACUCCAAAUCUCAAAGAAGGAAGAGGCCAUUUUAAAGAAACUAAAGUCAAUUGAGCGGACAACAGAAGACAUUAUAAGAUCUGUGAAAGUGGAAAGAGAAGAAAGAGCAGAAGAGUCAAUUGAGGACAUCUAUGCUAAUAUCCCUGACCUUCCAAAGUCCUACAUACCUUCUAGGUUAAGGAAGGAAAUAAAUGAAGAAAAAGAAGAUGAUGAACAAAAUAGGAAAGCUUUAUAUGCCAUGGAAAUUAAAGUUGAAAAAGACUUGAAGACUGGAGAAAGUACAGUUCUGUCUUCAAUACCUCUGCCAUCAGAUGACUUUAAAGGUACAGGAAUAAAAGUUUAUGAUGAUGGGCAAAAGUCAGUAUAUGCAGUAAGUUCUAAUCACAGUGCAGCAUACAAUGGCACCGAUGGCCUGGCACCAGUUGAAGUAGAGGAACUUCUAAGACAAGCCUCAGAGAGAAACUCUAAAUCCCCAACAGAGUAUCAUGAGCCUGUAUAUGCCAAUCCCUUUUACAGGCCUACAACCCCACAGACAGAAACAGUGACCCCUGGACCAAACUUUCAAGAACGGAUAAAGAUUAAAACUAAUGGACUGGGUAUUGAUGUCAAUGAAUCCAUACACAAUAUGGACAAUGGUCUUUCAGAGGAAAGGGGAAACAACUUCAAUCACAUCAGUCCCAUUCGGCCAGUGCCUCAUCCCCGAUCAGUGAUUCAACAAGCAGAAGAGAUGCUUCGCACCCCGCAAAAGAGGCUAAUGACUCCUUGGGAAGAAUCGAAUGUCAUGCAGGACAAAGAUGCACCCUCUCCAAAGCCAAGGUUGAGCCCCAGAGAGACAAUAUUUGGGAAAUCUGAACACCAGAAUUCUUCACCCACUUGUCAGGAGGACGAGGAAGAUGUCAGAUAUAAUAUCGUUCAUUCCCUGCCUCCUGACAUAAAUGAUACAGAACCAGUGACGAUGAUUUUCAUGGGGUAUCAGCAGGCAGAAGACAGUGAAGAAGACAAGAAGUUUCUGAUGGGAUAUGAUGGGAUCAUCCAUGCUGAGCUGGUUGUGAUUGAUGAUGAGGAGGAGGAAGAUGAAGGAGAAGUAGAGAAACCGUCCUACCACCCCAUAGCUCCCCAUAGUCAGGUGUACCAGCCAGCCAAACCAACACCACUUCCUAGAAAAAGAUCAGAAGCUAGUCCUCAUGAAAACACAAAUCAUAAAUCCCCCCACAAAAAUUCCAUAUCUCUGAAAGAGCAAGAAGAAAGCUUAGGCAGCCCUGUCCACCAUUCCCCAUUUGAUGUUCAGACAACUGGAGAUGGGACUGAGGAUCCAUCCUUAACAGCUUUAAGGAUGAGAAUGGCAAAGCUGGGAAAAAAGGUGAUCUAAGAGUUGUACCACCUAUAUAAACAUCCUUUGGAGAAGAAACUAAGAAGCAUUUGCAAAUUUCUCUUCUGGAUAUUUUGUUUAUUUUUUCUGAAGUCCAAAAAAUUAUCAUUACAGUGUACCAUAUUAAGCCAUGUGAAUAAGUAGUAGUCAUUAUUUGUGAAAAAUUCCCAAAAAGCUGGGGAAAACAAAUGUGUAACUUUUCCAGUUACUUGACAUGAUUCAGUGGGGGAAAACCAGCAUUUUUUAUUCUAUUGAUACCAAAGCAUUUCUAAUAAGAGCUUGUUAAAUUUAAGAAUAAAGUUGUUUAAAAUAUUCUGAGUAUAGUAUAUUAACUGGCAUUGUAAUUUUGAUGAUACAAAGAUCGAAAGAUCAUAGGAAAGCAUUGCACUUCAUCACAGAAAUAUUCAACUUUGACAAAUAAAUAUGUCAUCCUGAAUUAAUAAUGCCUUAAUAAAAGUACAUCCUCCUGCUAAGUAUCA